rnacentral:rRNA from 1 species
UACGAAGGGGGCUAGCGUUGCUCGGAAUUACUGGGCGUAAAGGGCGCGUAGGCGGCACUGUUAGUCAGGCGUGAAAGUCCUGGGCUCAACCUGGGAACUGCGCUUGAUACGGCAGAGCUAGAGGAUGGAAGAGGGUCGUGGAAUUCCCGGUGUAGCGGUGAAAUGCGCAGAUAUCGGGAGGAACACCAAUGGCGAAGGCAGCUUGCUGGGACGGUACUGACGCUGAGACGCGAAAGCGUGGGGAGCAAACAGG